UACGUAGGGGGCAAGCGUUAUCCGGAUUUACUGGGUGUAAAGGGGGCGCAGACGGCGAUGCAAGCCAGGAGUGAAAGCCCGGGGCCCAACCCCGGGACUGCUCUUGGAACUGCGUGGCUGGAGUGCAGGAGGGGCAGGCGGAAUUCCUGGUGUAGCGGUGAAAUGCGUAGAUAUCAGGAGGAACACCGGUGGCGAAGGCGGCCUGCUGGACUGCAACUGACGUUGAGGCCAGAAAGCGUGGGGAGCAAACAGG
rnacentral:rRNA from 1 species